GCUAAUUCUUUAGUAUCUAAGGAAAGCAAUGGGGGGACCCUCACUCAUCUUCACUUAUCUAGCCAUUUUGAGAGAUUAUAUUUUGUAUUAGAUUACUUGUUGACUCGAGUUCACCCAUACCAAUUAGGUUGGUCAAACAUGAGAUGUGCUGAUCUGAACCAGAUUAGUCAUCUAUAUCAGAUGUAUGUGACUAUUAGAAGAGAUCUGAACCUA
rnacentral:lncRNA from 1 species